GACGAACGCUGGCGGCGUGCUUAACACAUGCAAGUCGAACGGAAAGGCCCUGCUUUUGUGGGGUGCUCGAGUGGCGAACGGGUGUGUAACACGUGAGUAUCCUGCCCUUGACUUUGGGAUAACUUCAGGAGACUGCGGCUAAUACCGGAUAGGAGCUCCUGCUGCAUGGUGGUGGUUGGAAAGUUUCGGCGGUGGUGGAUGGACUCGCGGCUUAUCAGCUUGUUGGUGGGGUAGUGGCUUACGAAGGCUUCGACGGAUAGCCGGCCUGGGAGGGUGGCCGGCCACAAUGGGACUGAGAGACGCAGCAGACGCCUACGGGAGGCAGCAGUGGGAAAUAUUGCACAGUGGGGGGGAGCCUGAUGCGGCAACGCUGGGUGCGGGAUGACGGCUUUCGGGUUGUGAACCGCUUUCGCCUGUGACGAAGCGUGAGUGACGGUAAUGGGUAAAGAAGCACCGGCUAACUACGUG
rnacentral:rRNA from 1 species